UGGGGUGUGGCUCAUAGGAAAAGCACUUGCCUAGCAUGCAUGAGGCACUGGAUUCGAUCCUCAGCACCACGU
rnacentral:tRNA from 1 species